rnacentral:lncRNA from 1 species
UAGAUUGUUACCAAGUUAAAACUAGUGGGAAGAGUCCGAAUGAGGUUGCUAGAAUAAAAAAUGCCAUGGGGCUUGGUAACAACCUUCAGAUCCGCCUUCUUUUCAACCUUUUUCGAGGCUAGGGGCGUGGGUCAGAGACUGGUUACUUUCAAGUCUGGCCAAGGUUGUGGCUAACACCAUUUGGAAAAAGCUGCAAUAUUGAAAAACACAAAAAAGUAAAAAAUAAGAAAAGAAAAGAAGAUGAAAAGCAAAAGG